UCAUUACCCAUAGAAUCGGAUACAUUAUACUGGUUGUCUGUCAAGCAGUUGUAAACUACAAAUCCCAGCAUGUCAUUAUAGACUCAAGUUGUAUGCUGGGAGUAGUAGUGUCACAGCAGCCACAAGUUGCAGGUAUAUGCUGGGGUUCAGUGGUCAUGCUGCAGGGGGGUGGGCCGCGGACUCGCGCGACUUGGUGUCGGAGAAGUACGAUAUCGCUCUGUUUAUAGAAGAACACAGCGGUGCGCCGUUGUAUCAGGAGAAGUUAAAGGGUCUGCAGGGUCGCUAUUGCGCUGUUCGGAGGUCAUGCGCUGACGGCAGCUGUUUUUAUAGGGGUCUGGGCUUUGGCUUCCUGGAGUCUUUGGUUGGUAAACCUCAGGAGCUGCUCCGAUUUAGAGAACGUGUGAAGCGGAGCAGACACCAGCUCCUCGCUGCAGGAGUCCCUGAACACGGAUUUAGCCGUCCCUACGACACAUUUCUCAGUCUUGUAGAUGUAGCAGAGAGCGACGUGUCCGAGUGUAACCUCCUGAGAGCGUUCAAUCAUCCGGAAGUCUCUGACCGCGCCGUCCAGUAUCUGAGACUCGUCACUUCUGCCUUCCUCCGGAGCAGGGGCGAUUUCUACCAGCCGUUCAUAGAGGAGGAAAAAGGCAUUGAGGAAUACUGUGCUCAGGUCGCCAUCUAUAAUAUACACUGUGGGGAUGGCGGGCGGUGACGACCAGUAAUGCUGGAGGUUAUAUCAGUGCUGGAGCGUUAUAAGAGGAGCGGCUGAUAAACUAUAGCGCAAAUCUACGCCGCCGCCUCCUCUAUCGCUGGUGUCACUUUAUUCAUAACUAGUGUUGAGCGAACCUGUGUCUAAAGUUCGGGUUAUCGAAGAAUCGCAUUAUGGAUUCCGCGAUUCUUCGAUAACCCG